AUGUUGUCUUUGGACUAUUAUGCACUUUCUUUACUGAUUCUCACCAUUCUAACAGGUGUCAGCUGUGAAGAUCUCACUCCAACCAACAAAGAAGUGUUCAGUGUAGAAGGCAGCACUGCUACUCUGUCCUAUAGAUACUCCAAAAAGGCAACUGGAAGUGACGAGUUUUACUGGUAUCGACAAUAUCCUGGAAAACCACCAGAGUUCCUGAUCUAUCAUUUGGGAUCAGGAAGUGUAAUGAAACAAGAAAUCUCUGGAAUGUCUGUUCAAGUUGUGGAUGAUCAAAAACAAAUCGAUCUCAACAUCUCCUCUGCUGCAGUGACAGACUCUGCUGUGUACUACUGUGCUGUCCUGGGAGAUGGUGGUACCCAGGAACUUGAAGAUCUCCACAGUCGACACCGGGCUGUCGGGGAGCAGUGUUGA